rnacentral:rRNA from 1 species
AAUACCGGUGGAGGAAGACGGUCCCCUGGACGAAGUUUGACGAUCAGGGUCGAAAGCGUGGGGAGCAAUCAGGAUUAGAUACCCUGGUAGUCCACACCGUAAUCGAUUUCGACUAGGAGGUUGUUCCCUUGAGGAGUGGCCUACCGGAGCUAAACGCGUUAAGUCGACCACCUGGGGAGAACGUCCGCAAGGUUAAAACUCAAAUGAAUUGACGGGGGCCCGCACAAGCGGUGGAGCAUGUGGUUUAAUUCGAUGCAACGCGAAGAACCUUACCUACUCUUGACAUCCACGAGAACUUAGCAGAGAUGCUUUGGUGCCUUCGGGAACUGUGAGACAGGUGCUGCAUGGCUGUCGUCAGCUCGUGUUGUGAAAUGUUGGGUUAAGUCCCGCAACGAGCGCAACCCUUAUCCUUUGUUGCCAGCGAUUCGGUCGGGAACUCAAAGGAGACUGCCGGUGAUAAACCGGAGGAAGGUGGGGAUGACGUCAAGUCAUCAUGGCCCUUACGAGUAGGGCUACACACGUGCUACAAUGGCGCAUACAAAGAGAAGCGACCUCGCGAGAGCAAGCGGACCUCAUAAAGUGCGUCGUAGUCCGGAUCGGAGUCUGCA